UCUGUGUAGCUUUACGCCUUUCCUGGAACUCACUUGGUAGUCCAGGCUGGCUCUGCCUCCUGAGUGCUGGGAUUAAAGGCGCGCGCCACCACCCGCCUGAUUGUUUUCCUUUCUUAAUACCUCUUGUUGGAAACACACCUGGAUGUCUAGCCUCUGCCUUUUCUUGCUGAAAAUGUGCAGUUAAUUUUCUCCCUUAGGCUGGAAUGCCCUCAGUGUGUUAAUUUCUUUAGAACGGUUUUUCAGUAUUUAUGUUUUUUUGUGUAUGUAUGUGAGAGAGAUUUGUGUGUGUGUGUGUGUGUGUGUGUGUGUGUGUGUGUGUGUACACCACAGCACAUAUGCAGGAGACCAAGGACAACUUGAGGAAGUUCCAGGGGUUAAACUCAAGAACUCAAGACCUCAGACUUGGUGGUAAGCUUCUUUACCUGGGAGCCUUCUGACCUGCCCACAACUUAUUUCAACUAAUGAGAAUAUGCUGGCUAAAAUUCUGCACUGUGUGAAAGUGAUCUCAGACUUGAUCCCUGCUCUCAUGGAAAUGUAGGAACUGGCCUACAUGGCCAAAGAGGAUAAGUGAGGGCAAAACCAUCUCUGGGGCUUGAAGAGCCACCAAACUUGGCAGGAAGGGUAGGUGACUGGCCCCUUAGUCUCUCGGCCUGAUCUCCAAGCCCUGCGCAGCCCCCAUGCUUGGGCCUGAACAGACAACGUUUCUGCUCCUCACUGCCAGAUCGCCCACACUAUCUGACUCCCCCAGGGAUAGCAACAACAAGGGGCUGGGGUGGAGCCUGGGCCCCCAGGACAGCUGGCUAACAAGGCCCCUCUGGGACUCCAGUCUGGGCCCCAGCAUUCAGGAGGCAGCGAUACUGGAGCUGUGACAGUUGGCCCUUAGAGUCCCCACCCCGUGGCGCCAGCUCUGGUUUCGGGCUGGGUGAGGGAGGGGAUUAGUUGCCCUCCUGGGACGGGGAGGCAGUAAACAUGGCUCCCUGUGAGGACUUUUCCUCCCUGGGGCCCCACGCUAGGGUGGAUGUGAGGAGGGGUUUGGGCCAGGGUGACUUGUGUAGUGUAGACUGUCAUGUGCAGGAGGUCAGGGCGGGCGGGCGUGGAAGGCAUGUGAAGUCUGACCCUUCUCAUUUGCACACUCGGGUUCUGAGACUCCCUUCUGCCUCCUGUACAGGUCUGCUUCCUUUUCAGAAAAGGGAAGAGGAAGUCAGAAAGGGGAGUGAGAAAGACCCUUCCAUUUCCUGAAGGACAGAACUUGACUUGGAUGGCACCUCCCAUAAACCUCCCCUGUCACCUCUGCGUGUCCAUUUGCUACACUGUACAGUACCUGCCUUCGUUUGCUCCUUCACUACACCGGAAACUCCUGGAAAGCUGAAGUCUGAUCUAGUGCACUCCUGUGAUCCCGGCAUCUGGUACAUAGACACUCGAUGUACAGCAGCUGGACACGUUCCUCUCUCCUUGAACAUCCCCCGUCACAUACCCACUGCCAGAUGUUCAACUGCUGCUUCCCACCAUACCUCCCAUUCCAGCACCUCCACCCCUGGCCCUCGGUCCUCCGGCCAGCAAGGGGUACUGUCUGCAUGAGAUUUGCCGUGUAAUGUCCUGGGUCCCUCUGCUCUGCAGCACCUAAUCUGGAGCUCCCAGACUACGAAUGCCAUCCAUGGUGCUCAUUCUCUUUGGCUGAUGACUCAGAAGUGAUGUCAGAGCAUACCCUUUCCCUCGGCCCUGGCAGGUAGAGAAUGCUAAAACAAAGUAUGAGUGGCUUGCUUUUCCUUUCAGACCUCGCUGGGGAUCACGUGCUCUGGCAUGACGUGCACACCUCCCGAGGCUGCGCUGGCCCCUUGUGCUUACGCUUCCUUUGCACUCAGCUCGUGUGUUAAAAACCAGUUUGCAUGGUCUGCAUGCCACGCCAGCCUGAGAGCUGUCUUGGGAUGUCACCCGGGUGUCUCUAAAGUCUGGCACACAGCAGGUCCUGUCGACAAAUGUGUUUGUGAAGUCAAUGAAUGAAUAAAAGAAGAAAGAGUCACUUGCCA